GACGAACGCUGGCGGCGUGCUUAACACAUGCAAGUCGAACGGAAAGGCCCUGCUUUUGUGGGGUGCUCGAGUGGCGAACGGGUGAGUAACACGUGAGUAACCUGCCCUUGACUUUGGGAUAACUUCAGGAAACUGGGGCUAAUACCGGAUAGGAGCUCCUGCUGCAUGGUGGGGGUUGGAAAGUUUCGGCGGUUGGGGAUGGACUCGCGGCUUAUCAGCUUGUUGGUGGGGUAGUGGCUUACCAAGGCUUUGACGGGUAGCCGGCCUGAGAGGGUGACCGGCCACAUUGGGACUGAGAUACGGCCCAGACUCCUACGGGAGGCAGCAGGGGGGAAUAUUGCACAAGGGGCGGAAGCCUGAUGCAGCAACGCCGCGUGCGGGAGGACGGCCUUCGGGUUGUAAACCGCUUUCGCCUGUGACGAAGCGUGAGUGACGGUAAUGGGUAAAGAAGCACCGGCUAACUACGUGC
rnacentral:rRNA from 1 species